rnacentral:tRNA from 1 species
AUGAAUAAGUAAUAUUUACGUUUAAUUUCCAAUUAAAAAGAGGGAAAAUUUUUAUUUUGG